ensembl:snoRNA small nucleolar RNA SNORA40
GGCAUUUGUGCAUGUUUUUGUCUGAACUUGGUGAACUAAAAACUUAUUGAACAGGUACAAAAACCAAAACUUCUUCUACAACUCAGAACUCUUUGUUCAGUGUGCAUUUUGAUAUAUAUAUAAGAAGGAAUG